UGGGGAAUAUUGGACAAUGGGCGAAAGCCUGAUCCAGCCAUGCCGCGUGUGUGAAGAAGGUCUUCGGAUUGUAAAGCACUUUAAGUUGGGAGGAAGGGCAUUAACCUAAUACGUUAGUGUUUUGACGUUACCGACAGAAUAAGCACCGGCUAACUCUGUGCCAGCAGCCGCGGUAAUACAGAGGGUGCAAGCGUUAAUCGGAAUUACUGGGCGUAAAGCGCGCGUAGGUGGUUUGUUAAGUUGGAUGUGAAAUCCCCGGGCUCAACCUGGGAACUGCAUUCAAAACUGACUGACUAGAGUAUGGUAAAGGGUGGUGGAAUUUCCUGUGUAGCGGUGAAAUGCGUAGAUAUAGGAAGGAACACCAGUGGCGAAGGCGACCACCUGGACUAAUACUGACACUGAGGUGCGAAAGCGUGGGGAGCAAACA
rnacentral:rRNA from 1 species